CAGCAGUCGCCGCGGGAAUACGUAGGUGGCAAGCGUUGUCCGGGUUUAUUGGGCGUGAAGCGAGCGCAGGCGGUCAAUUAAGUCUGAUGCGAAAGCCCCCGGCUCAACCGGGGAGGGUCAUUGGAAACUGGUUGACUUGAGUGCAGAAGAGGAGAGUGGAAUCCCAUGUGUAGCGGUGAAAUGCGUAGAUAUAUGGAGGAACACCAGUGGCGAAGGCGACUCUCUGGUCUGUAACUGACGCUGAGGCUCGAAAGCGUGGGUAGCAAACAGGAUUAGAUACCCGGGUAGUCCCUGUCUCUUAUAC
rnacentral:rRNA from 1 species